GUGGUUCAGUGGUAGAAUUCUUGACUUCCACAUGGGAAUCCCAGGUUCGAUUCCUGGC
rnacentral:tRNA from 1 species